rnacentral:rRNA from 1 species
AUACGGAGGAUCCGAGCGUUAUCCGGAUUUAUUGGGUUUAAAGGGAGCGUAGGUGGAUUGUUAAGUCAGUUGUGAAAGUUUGCGGCUCAACCGUAAAAUUGCAGUUGAAACUGGCAGUCUUGAGUACAGUAGAGGUGGGCGGAAUUCGUGGUGUAGCGGUGAAAUGCUUAGAUAUCACGAAGAACUCCGAUUGCGAAGGCAGCUCACUAGACUGUUACUGACACUGAUGCUCGAAAGUGUGGGUAUCAAACAGGAUUAGAUACCCUGGUAGUCCACACAGUAAACGAUGAAUACUCGCUGUUUGCGAUAUACAGUAAGCGGCCAAGCGAAAGCAUUAAGUAUUCCACCUGGGGAGUACGCCGGCAACGGUGAAACUCAAAGGAAUUGACGGGG